GUAUGGACUGCUUAAAGGUCUACGAGGUUUCUGGCAUGCGGAUUGGUCUGAUUCAUGGCCGGUCUAUAGGUGGUCCAUAGGUGCAGAUUUGAGCGAUCCAAUGACUAGAGAUAUGUGCGGUUUGAUCAAAGUGAUCCAGUGGCCUGAUUUGAUGGUCGGGAGAUUUUUUGAGUUGCAAUUGAAGUCUGAUCUUCGAUCCGAGCUCGGACCGAGGUCUUUAAAAUCCCUGUGGACAAAUAGAGGGCUUGAUGGUAGCAGUGAACGAUUGAUAGAGAAUUCUGUGUGCAGAAUAGAAUAGUUCAGCAGCAGUA
rnacentral:lncRNA from 1 species